CGUCGCGUCGUGACGUCAUAUUUCAAAAUGGCAGAGCCCGCGGAAAGACCCCCUGGAGUCGACUCCAUUUCCCAAGAAAAGAUGUCAACAGCGCGACUUGUAACAAUUAUAAGGCCGAGGAGGGUUAUUUGAACACACACCAUUCAAUUAUUAUAAAUGAAAGUCACGUUUUUUAACCGCUCCGGUCUCGUCCCAGCGGAAGUGACGCUAGCACGUCAUCAGAAUACAACAGGUUGCUAGCUAACACGCCUCCUAUCAUGUCAGCGCUGUUAUUUGUUCCAAUGUCAUUCAUUCCUUCUCAUUUACAUCAACACGACGAGAGAGACAUUCUGCCGCUAGACGAAGGUCACCGAGCAGCGACGAAGUUUGCAUUUUCGGUAGAGGUCCAGGGAGCCACGAGGGCGGUGCUAAAGAGACGCGGGUUGCUGACCCCCGGCCUACACCCUAAACUGGCCGCCAGUUCAUCACAGGACACAUGAACAAGCCUUCGCCCUCAAAUCAGAGAAAAACAACAACACCAGAAAUGUGUCCCGUGAAAAACCGUCCGACCAGAACUCUAAUAACUAAAGUUCCUUGGGUGAAUAAUGGUAACUCACUACACCGGUAUGUUUUAGGGCUUUCAUGGCGAGUUUACUGACUGAAAUAAGUAAUAACUUUACACUGCUUUUUAUUAGAAAUGGCAACAGCAGAGGAUGGAUGUCCCAUAACAAGAAGGUGGAGAAAAAGAAGAAGCUUAUCGACUACGGUGUCGGCACGGACUACAAAGGCGGACCUGCACAAAUUUUCAGGUACCAGAAGGUAAGAAAAGUUUCUUUUGCAUAAUAUUGCGAAACAAAACACCAGAAAAUAUGUCUUACCUUAUAC